rnacentral:rRNA from 1 species
UACGUAGGGCGCAAGCGUUGUCCGGAAUUAUUGGGCGUAAAGAGCUCGUAGGCGGCUUGUCACGUCGGGUGUGAAAGCCCGGGGCUUAACCCCGGGUCGGCAGUGGAUACGGGCAGGCUAGAGGUAGGUAGGGGAGAAUGGAAUUCCCGGUGUAGCGGUGAAAUGCGCAGAUAUCGGGAGGAACACCUGUGGCGAAAGCGGACUCACUGGACCAUAACUGACGCUGAUGCACGAAAGCUGGGGGGAGCAAAACAGG